rnacentral:rRNA from 1 species
CCUACGGGAGGCAGCAGUGGGGAAUAUUGCACAAUGGGGGAAACCCUGAUGCAGCGACGCCGCGUGAGUGAGGACGUAUUUCGGUAUGUAAAGCUCUAUCAGCAGGGAAGACAAUGCAGGUACCUGAAUACGAAGCCACGGCGAACUACGUGCCAGCAGCCGCGGUGAUACGUCAGGGGCAAGCGUUAUCCGGAUUUACUGGGUGUAAAGGGAGCGUAGACGGCUAAUCAAGUCAGAAGUGAAAACCCAGGGCUCAACUUUGGUACUGCUUUUGAAACUGAGUAGCUAGAGUGCAGGAGAGGUAAGCGGAAUUCCUAGUGUAGCGGUGAAAUGCGUAGAUAUUAGGAGGAACACCAGUGGCGAAGGCGGCUUACUGGACUGUAACUGACGUUGAGGCUCGAAAGCGUGGGGAGCAAACAGGAUUAGAUACCCGUGUAGUC